AUUCCAGCUCCAAUAGCGUAUAUUAAAGUUGUUGCGGUAAAAAAGCUCGUAGUUGGAUUUCUGUCGAGAACAGCCGGUCACGAUUUUGUCGUUGUAUCUGGUUUGGUCUUGGCAUCCUCUUGGGGAACAUUUCUGCGCUUCACUGCGUGGAGUGGUAUUCAAGACUUUUACUUUGAGGAAAUUAGAGUGUUCACGGCAGGCAAUCGCCCUGAAUAUAUUAGCAUGGAAUAAUGAUAUAGGACCUUGGUUCUAUUUUGUUGGUUUCUAGAACUAAGGUAAUGAUUAAUAGGGACAAUUGGGGGCAUUCGUAUUAACGCGUCAGAGGUGGAAUUCUUAGAUUGCGUUACGACGAACUACUGCGAAAGCAUUUGCCAAGGAUGUUUUCAUCA
rnacentral:rRNA from 1 species